rnacentral:rRNA from 1 species
CGCGGCCUAUCAGCUUGUUGGUGAGGUAACGGCUCACCAAGGCAACGACGGGUAGCUGUUCUGAGAGGAAGAUCAGCAACACUGGAACUGAGACACGGUCCAGACACCUACGGGUGGCAGCAGUCGAGAAUCAUUCACAAUGGGGGCAACCCUGAUGGUGCAACGCCGCGUGGAGGAUGAAGGCCCUAGGGUCGUAAACUCCUGUCAUAUGAGAGUAAGGCAUAGAGGGAAUAAUACCCUUUUAUGUUUGAUAGUAUCAUAAGAGGAAGGGACGGCUAACUUCGUGCCAGCAGCCGCGGUAAUACGAAGGUCCCGAGCGUUAUUCGGAAUCACUGGGCGUAAAGAGUACGUAGGCGGUUUGGUAAGUCAGGUGUGAAAUCCCGGGGCUCAACCCCGGAACUGCACCCGAUACUGCCAGACUGGAGUAAUGGAGAGGCAGGUGGAAUUCUCGGUGUAGCAGCGAAAUGCGUGGAUAUCGAGAGGAAGACCAAUGGCGAAGGCAGCCUGCUGGACAUUUACUGACGCUGAGGUACGAAGGCCAGGGUAGCGAAAGGGAUUAGAUACCCCUGUAGUCCUGGCAGUAAACGGUGCGCGCUUGGUGUGGGAGGAUUCGACCCCUUCCGUGCCGGAGCUAACGCGUUAAGCGCCCCGCCUGGGGAGUACGG